rnacentral:lncRNA from 1 species
GAGUUAGUUUAUUGCUUGAGCUCUAGCAAAGUGUAAGUGUGGGUAUAGCGUUCAUCUCCUUGCACUAAGUGAUUUUCUCCUCUUUAUUAUCCUGUUUGUGUCUCGUUUUCCGUCAUUGGACCCUUGCGGUCCCAUUUGAUAUAUCUUUGAGCGUUUUUGGUGAGGUUUUAGGUCAUGGUCAAUCAUCGCCUCAUGGUCUCAUUGCUAAGGUUGGUUUUGGACUAGUUUUAAUUUGAUUUUCACUUGCUCUCAUCAUUUCUUUUGGUCUGGAAUAACUGACUUUCUCCUUUAUACCUUUUGACGUGAAGGUGGGUUGGAGCUUGGUUGUGAAGGCUUCUCCGUGUUACAUGACUGUAUGGUUUGUCCUUUUCAUUUCCCUACUUCUUCCUGUAUGUUGUUGUCAUUCUAGGAUGUUCGCUCAACCAUUGCAGAUGGUAGCGGUGCCCGCAUUGAUAUCACACAUUCUCCAACUGCACAAGGGAAACAACAACUUGUCAAAGUUAUGAAACCUCAAAAUUCAACUCAUCUCUGGUAAUUCACCUCUGCCACUUGUCAUUUUUCGUGUUACAUGACUGUAUGGUUUGUCCUCUUCAUUUCUCUACUUCUUCAUGUAUGUUGUCGUCAUUCUAGGAUGUUCGCUCAUCCAUUGCAGAUGGUAGCGGUGCCCGCAUUGAUAUCACACAUUCUCCAACUGCACAAGGGAAACAACAUCUUGUCAAAGUUAUGAAACCUCAAAAUUCAACUCAUCCCUGGUAAUUCACCUCUGCCACUUUUCAUUUUUCGUAUUCAUGUUAUUAUUUUUCUGUAGUCUAUACGUUUCUGUAAGUCCUCGCUACUGUGUGCUAUGUUGGUCUUCUAACUGCUGACCUGUUUUGGUAAAGCUUUUGAUAUCAUUUUUUGCAACAUCAUCCUUCUGCUUUUCUUUCAUUUCUUUUCAUUUCUUUUCUAUGAUAAAAAUAACUCAUUCUUCCUUCUUUUCAUGGCUUUCUACUUGCGAGUUGACGAAAAUAUGGAGCUGUUUCAACUUGGUCUAGGGUCUAGGCAGUAGGGACUAGGUAGUGUGGUCUAGGUACUGAGGUUUAGGGUACGUUACGUAUAGUUAUUGGGGUCUAGGUAAGGUCUGGGGUUGGGGGUCUAGCGUCUAGGAUGAUCAUUUCUGUUGUUGAGAUCUGCAGACUUUCCUGUUGAAUUCGUAUGCUAGAGGGUGUGUCCUUGUUGACAGACUUUUGGAUCGAUAUUGAAAUGAGAUGGAUGCCAUUUAUUUUUUCCCUGGUUUUGGUGAAGUUCUUUGUUGAAAGAGAGGUGGAUAUGAAGAUGAGUUGUGAUGCCUUCUAAUGGCGGUUUAUAUAGGAUGGUGAGAGGCCAAAGACUGAUGGUAUGACUUGGGAUUCUGUGAUCCAGCACAGUCCCAACAAAUGUGGCUAACUAAGCAAUGUCCCUUUCUUGUCCACCAAUCCCUCAAACUCAUAAGUGGGAGGCAAAAGAUCCAAACUUUAUGACUUGGGAUUCUGUGAGCCAGCACAGUCCCAACAAAUGUGGCUAACUAAGCAAUGUCCCUUUCUUGUCCACCAAUCCCUCAAACUCAUAAGUGGGAGGCAAAAGAUCCAAACUUUAUGACUUGGGAUUCUGUGAGCCAGCACAGUCCCAACAAAUGUGGCUAACUAAGCAAUGUCCCUUUCUUGUCCACCAAUCCCUCAAACUCAUAAGUGGGAGGUAAAAGAUCCAAACUUUAUGACUUGGGAUUCUGUGAGCCAGCACAGUCCCAACAAAUGUGGCUAACUAAGCAAUGUCCCUUUCUUGUCCACCAAUCCCUCAAAACUCAUAAGUGGGAGGCAAAAGAUCCAAACUUUAUGUUUCACCAAUGUUAACAGAAGCUUAUGUAGCAGCAGCAGAAGAGUCAAUAAUAAAGUUUCCUCAUUGUUGCUUGUAUACUGCAGCGGGCAAGAGGAAUCUAGAUUGGAAAUUUAAACAGGUUAAAUUAUUAAUUCCAUCCGGGCAUGCUGCAACUUACUGGGAGAACAUGUUCUUGAUUGAUUGAUGCGAGUACAUUCUGGAUUCUUUGUUAGUAACCUUAUUUACUUCAGAGGGCUAUAAUUUCCCAAUUCAUUUUUUCUGGGAUUGGUUCUGCGCAUGGGCUCUAAUUUCACUAUGAAGAGCAUGCAUGAAGUUAAGGAAGGUUACAUCAAAGUGUAUUGCUGAUGCCAACAUCAAUCCAGAUUUAGAUUGGAUUUCAGCAUUUGCUUCUGACAGGCUGCAUUAUCCUGUUGAUUGACAGGCUGAUAUCAGCAAUGUCGAGGAGGGUUAGUUAGUAUGUGUUUGUUUCCUUGACUAGCCCCUGAAAGUGGUGGUGAAUGCCUGGCUGUUGGUAUCAAUCUUAACGAUUUCUUUGGUUUAAAAGGAAACUUUCGAGUUCUGGUGUGGUUUUGAAUUUUGCUACCACAAUCAUAUGAGGCUGGGUUAGAACUCGAAUGAUGUACCGUAUGUGUAAAUCAAUCUGAUGUAGUAUUUGCGAAUUGCGAUUGAAUUAUUAGACCGGUUGGUAUUCACUAUUGAAUCACUUAUGUUAGGUAUGGGCCGACCCGGUAUAUUUCCCCACACUCUCCAGAUAAAGCCUUAAAAAGGCUUGCAAAAUAGUUUUUAC